UGGUUUGAUUCUGGCUCAGGAUGAACGCUGGCGGCGUGCCUAACACAUGCAAGUCGAGCGAUUUACUUCGGUAAAGAGCGGCGGACGGGUGAGUAACGCGUGGGUAACCUGCCCUGUACACACGGAUAACAUACCGAAAGGUAUGCUAAUACGAGAUAAAAUACUUUUAUCGCAUGGUAGAAGUAUCAAAGUUUUUGCGGUACAGGAUGGACCCGCGUCUGAUUAGCUAGUUGGUAAGGUAACGGCUUACCAAGGCGACGAUCAGUAGCCGACCUGAGAGGGUGAUCGGCCACAUUGGAACUGAGACACGGUCCAAACUCCUACGGGAGGCAGCAGUGGGGAAUAUUGCACAAUGGGCGAAAGCCUGAUGCAGCAACGCCGCGUGAGCGAUGAAGGCCUUCGGGUCGUAAAGCUCUGUCCUCAAGGAAGAUAAUGACGGUACUUGAGGAGGAAGCCCCGGCUAACUACGUGCCAGCAGCCGCGGUAAUACGUAGGGGGCUAGCGUUAUCCGGAAUUACUGGGCGUAAAGGGUGCGUAGGUGGUUUCUUAAGUCAGAGGUGAAAGGCUACGGCUCAACCGUAGUAAGCCUUUGAAACUGGGGAACUUGAGUGCAGGAGAGGAGAGUGGAAUUCCUAGUGUAGCGGUGAAAUGCGUAGAUAUUAGGAGGAACACCAGUUGCGAAGGCGGCUCUCUGGACUGUAACUGACACUGAGGCACGAAAGCGUGGGGAGCAAACAGGAUUAGAUACCCUGGUAGUCCACGCCGUAAACGAUGAGUACUAGCUGUCGGAGGUUACCCCCUUCGGUGGCGCAGCUAACGCAUUAAGUACUCCGCCUGGGAAGUACGCUCGCAAGAGUGAAACUCAAAGGAAUUGACGGGGACCCGCACAAGUAGCGGAGCAUGUGGUUUAAUUCGAAGCAACGCGAAGAACCUUACCUAAGCUUGACAUCCUUUUGACCGAUGCCUAAUCGCAUCUUUCCCUUCGGGGACAGAAGUGACAGGUGGUGCAUGGUUGUCGUCAGCUCGUGUCGUGAGAUGUUGGGUUAAGUCCCGCAACGAGCGCAACCCUUGCCUUUAGUUGCCAGCAUUAAGUUGGGCACUCUAGAGGGACUGCCAGGGAUAACCUGGAGGAAGGUGGGGAUGACGUCAAAUCAUCAUGCCCCUUAUGCUUAGGGCUACACACGUGCUACAAUGGGUGGUACAGAGGGCAGCCAAGUCGUGAGGCGGAGCUAAUCCCUUAAAGCCAUUCUCAGUUCGGAUUGUAGGCUGAAACUCGCCUACAUGAAGCUGGAGUUACUAGUAAUCGCAGAUCAGAAUGCUGCGGUGAAUGCGUUCCCGGGUCUUGUACACACCGCCCGUCACACCACGGAAGUUGGGGGCGCCCGAAGCCACUUAGCUAACCCUUUUGGGAAGCGAGUGUCGAAGGUGAAAUCAAUAACUGGGGGGAAGUCGUAAAAAGGUAGCC
rnacentral:rRNA from 1 species